rnacentral:rRNA from 1 species
GUAGGGAAUAUUGGGCAAUGGAGGCAACUCUGACCCAGCCAUGCCGCGUGCAGGAAGACGGUCCUCUGGAUUGUAAAGCACUUUAAGUUGGGAGGAAGGGCAGUAAGUUAAUACCUUGCUGUUUUGACGUUACCGACAGAAUAAGCACCGGCUAACUUCGUGCCAGCAGCCGCGGUAAUACGAAGGGUGCAAGCGUUAAUCGGAAUUACUUGGCGUAAAGCGCGCGUAGGUGGUUUUGUAAGUUGGAGGUGAAAUCCCCGGGCUCAACCUGGGAACUGCCUCCAAAACUGCAUGACUAGAGUACGGUAGAGGGUAGUGGAAUUUCCUGUGUAGCGGUGAAAUGCGUAGAUAUAGGAAGGAACACCAGUGGCGAAGGCGACUACCUGGACUGAUACUGACACUGAGGUGCGAAAGCGUGGGGAGCAAACAGGAUUAGAAACCCGAGUAGUCC